rnacentral:misc_RNA from 1 species
CGCGUCGCCCCCGACCACCCCUCCCUUAUGGGGAUGGGUUGUGUCGGGGGCGGAGACUGGUCUCCCGUGCCCAUGGUGUGGUUGGCCUAAAAAGGAGUCCCCUUUGACGGACGCACGGCUAGUGGUGGUUGUCAAGACCUUUGUAACGAGCCGUGCGGAUGCAAAGGGAUCGCUCUAGGAAGGACCCCAACGUGCUGUC